rnacentral:tRNA from 1 species
CGGGGUGUAGCUCAGUUGGCUAGAGCGCAUGGUUCGGGACCGUGAGGCCGGCGGUUCAAGUCCGCCCACCCCGACCA